rnacentral:tRNA from 1 species
GCCUGGGUGGCUCAGUGGGUUAAGCGUCUGACUUUGGCUCAGGUCAUGAUCUCACGGUUCGUGGGUUCGAGCCCCCGUGUCGGGCU